rnacentral:tRNA from 1 species
CGGGUAUAGUUUAAUUUAAAAUCUCUGUUUUAGGAGCAGAAGUCACUAAGCUUUUAGUUACUUGAG